UACGUAGGUGGCAAGCGUUUGUCCGGAAUUAUUGGGCGUAAAGCGCGCGCAGGCGGCCUUUUAAGUCUGAUGUGAAAGCCCACGGCUCAACCGUGGAAGGUCAUUGGAAACUGGCGAGCUUGAGUACGAAAGAGGAUCGCGGAAUUCCCGGUGUAGAGGUGAAAUUCGUAGAUAUCGGGAGGAACACCGGCGGCGAAGGCGGCGAUCUGGGUCGAGUACUGACGCUGAGGUGCGAAAGCGUGGGGAGCAAACAGGG
rnacentral:rRNA from 1 species